rnacentral:rRNA from 1 species
UACAGAGGUCCCAAGCGUUGUUCGGAUUUAUUGGGCGUAAAGGGUGCGUAGGCGGCGGAGUAAGUUGGGUGUGAAAUCCCGGGGCUCAACCUCGGAAUUGCAUUCAAUACUGCUUCGCUCGAGUACUGGAGAGGAGACUGGAAUUUACGGUGUAGCAGUGAAAUGCGUAGAUAUCGUAAGGAAGGCCGGUGGCGAAAGCGGGUCUCUGGACAGUUCCUGACGCUGAGGCACGAAGGUCAGGGGAGCAAACGGG